ensembl:misc_RNA 7SK 7SK RNA
GGAUGUGAGGGCAAUCUGGCUGCAACGUUUGUCACCCCACUGACAGCCAGGGUUGACUCAGCUGAUGUGGUCGGCUAGGCAGGUAUCUCCUUCCUCCUUCACCGCUCUACAUGCACCAUUCCGAAAGCUAUGUGCUGGGUGGAAGAGGACAACUUCCCCCCACAGAGGAGGACCAUUUCCUCAGUCGAGGGUAUACGAGUAGCUGCACUGCCUGCUAGAACCUCCAACCAAGCUCUCAAGAAGAAAGCAGUGAUGGGAAAGAAAGAACAUCUGUUCUCACAUUUGUGCAAUUAUCCUC